rnacentral:rRNA from 1 species
GAUAAACGCUGGCGGCGUGCUUAACACAUGCAAGUCGAACGAAGUUUUUCUUUCGGGAGGCACUUAGUGGCGGACGGGUGAGUAACGCGUGGGUAACCUGCCCUGUACAGGGGGACAACAGCUGGAAACGGCUGCUAAUACCGCAUAAGCCCUUAGCACUGCAUGGUGCAUAGGGAAAAGGAGCAAUCCGGUACAGGAUGACCCGCGUCUGAUUAGCCAGUUGGCAGGGUAACGGCCUACCAAAGCGACGAUCAGUAGCCGAUCUGAGAGGAUGUACGGCCACAUUGGGACUGAGACACGGCCCAGACUCCUACGGGAGGCAGCAGUGGGGAAUAUUGCACAAUGGAGGAAACUCUGAUGCAGCGACGCCGCGUGAGUGAAGAAGUAUUUCGGUAUGUAAAGCUCUAUCAGCAGGAAAGAAAAUGACGGUACCUGACUAAGAAGCACCGGCUAAAUACGU